rnacentral:lncRNA from 1 species
CAAGCGGCGGCAACCUGGCUCUUCCCCGCCCCCCGCCCGGGGAGCGGGAUGCCACUGCGAGAGCCCAAAUCCAGGCAAAGUCUCGCAGGCUCUUGCUCCCUGUGCCAGGAAGCAGUUUGAGACCGGGACUCUCCCCAGGGCCAUCUGGGGCUGCCCGGGAUGCUACAGCCGCAGAAGACAGCUACCAGCGUCCCUGAUGUUUGGUCAUUUUCAAUGCCAAUAACUAAGCUACAACGGUUCUCCCACACCUGGAGGCUGAUG